GCUGGCGUAGCUCAGUUGGUAGAGCAGCGGUUUCGUAAACCGCAGGUCGUCCGUUCAAAUCGGACCGCCAGCUCCA
rnacentral:tRNA from 1 species